CAACGUGCGCGUCGCGCACUCCAGUCCACCGCGAGCUAUCGGUCGGGUGGAAUCUAUCGUUCUGUCGCAUCUUUGAAUUUUACCCGCCUGUCGAGAUACAUUUAUCUGCUCCAUUCCCUACGCGCGAAGUUUGGGAAUGCGUCCCGCGCGAUCUCGUUGAAUGUUAGUGAGUCGUCCGUACGAGCAAGGACAGUAGAAAUCUAAAAAGUCGAUAGUAGCCAAAAGCCGACAGCAUGAGAAACUCGACGUUACUGAAGUGGGCGCAAAAUUCGGCGAACAAUAAAAAUCAGCCGAAUAAAAAUGGGGGAACGAGCAGAAACUGGAUACACCCACCAGACGCGCUUCAAAAAGGACAUAUCGCUUACCUAGUCAAGUAUUUGGGCAGCACAGAGGUAGAUCAACCUAAAGGCAUCGAUGUUGUCAAGGAAGCGAUUUGCAAGCUAAAAUUCAAUCAGCAACUCAAGAAGAGCGAAGGCACAAAAACGCCGAAGGUCGAGCUUACCAUAAGUAUCGAUGGCGUAGCGAUACAAGAACCAAAAACAAAAACGACGACCAAGAGAAUUAUGCAUCAAUAUCCGUUGCAUAGAAUUUCAUAUUGCGCCGACGACAAGGGAGAAAAGAAAUUUUUCAGUUUCAUCGCGAAGGAGGAGGAUGCAGAGAGGCAUACAUGCUUUGUUUUUGUCAGCGACAAAUUAGCCGAGGAAAUCACACUCACCAUCGGCCAAGCUUUCGAUUUAGCUUACAGGCGGUUCCUAGAAACAUCUGGUAAAGAUUUGGAAGCGCAACGACGCUGCAUGGUGUUACAGCAAAAAAUAAAACGACUUGAACACGAAAACAACGUUUAUCGGCAACGGCUGCAAGAUAUCGCAGCUAUUAAAGGCUCGGCGGAUGUAUCAACGUAUCUAUCACAGCAUAAUCUACCCGACAUUCUUCAUGUACCUAGAGCUCCGUCGGACUCACCGCAAGUCAAUGGCACAAUUAGCAAAACACUGCUAAAUACGAGCAGCGACAGUAACGGAAAUACAUCUAAUGGACCCCAGCAACCGCCGCCAGUUCCGCCGAGAAGUUUCGAGAAAAGUUUCGACGAUGAUUUCAUGGGAAAUGAGCCAGUGUCAACGCCGUCGGUUGGUACGAAAUUAGAAGGACUGUUGAUGGACGAAUUUGAGGAAGAUUUUAAUCCAAGGGCUUACGAGACUGCAACCAAUGGUCUUACCAACCAUCAAUCAAAUAGUAAUUCGCUCCUUAAUGGUCAAGUAUCUUCCGGAUCAAAUUUCUUUUCGCAAUCUAAUGGCACAAUCAGUCCUCCGCCUCUAUUGGCGCCACCACCAAAGACGAAAGAUUCGAGACGUCAAAACGGAGUCAAAGAAGAUCUAUUCGGUAGCAUUCCUUUCAAUCCCACGCCAACGCUAAAUAUAAAGAAUGACUUUAAGGAUCCAUUUGAAAUGGGAGAAUUUGGAGCUUCGACUAUGACGUCAAAUCCUAGCCAGCAAGAAUUGGAAAAUGCUAUUGGUCUACUAGAUAAGAGGCUAUUGGAGAUGAAGGAUGGUUUUAGCAGAGGACUAUGUAUUGGAACUGAUGACUUUUCUUUGGAGAGCUUGGAUCCGCUUCGAAAUUAAACUCAUCGAGCAAGCCGAAAACUAGGAACGCUCGAACAAGAACGUCAUUAGUACUCUCGGAUACAGAGUACGCGAAAAGAUAAAAAUUGGGGUCCAAUUUAACGUACUAGGAACGUGUUAUCGUUGUUUCUAAUGAGUCAGUGAGACCAGAUCUCAAGUUGACCGCUAGAGUGGAACGAGAUAUUAUUCUAAUCGAGGUCACAUAAUUUUAGACGAGAAUUUGUUUUACACGCGCGGCGUGCGCAUAUAUAUAUGCAAACAUAUACUAAAACAGAUUUUAUCGCGAAUCUCUCACAUCGACGAUGAUAUACUUGCGUCUUUUAUAUUUUUUAAUGAGAUAUUAAGAAAAACUAAUUAAUAUUGUUAAUCCUGCAGCCACCAAAUCGGAUAAUCGCAAAGACAUUUACUCUUUAAGAAAUUAUUCGAAUCUUUAAAAUUCUAAGAGAUUAAUUAAAAGAGAUUAAUUAAAAGAAAGUCGUAAUAUAUAUCUUAUAUUCGGUUUAGUUUAUAAAUUAAUUUCUUCUUACAUUCAAUCAUCUGUUAAAAAGUGAGUUAGUAGAUGACAAAAAUGGAGCACUAACUAUCUGUAGCAUUAGAGAUCACACUAAUAGUAUGAAUGCAUCGAUUCAUCCAUUGAUUGAAUUUGUACACUCCAUAUAUCCUCUUUCUUUGGUCUGUCAUUUAUUCCUUACACCUUUCUUUUAAAGAUAAUAAUUGAAAAGAAAGGUUUAAUUCUAAGAACAUGAGAGAUUCUAUUUGUAAAUUUUAUAGUAAUCUCUAUUGCAUUAUGAUAAUAAUUAAAUUGACCAACGUAACAUGGAGUGUUAAACGAGUUUAUGCUAUUCAAAGAGGAUUAGUAAUUAUGUACAUAUGGAAUUCUAUAUCUCUUAUUAUUGUUGCUAUAUUGUUUAAGAAUCAUAGUUAAGAAUAUAGCAUAUGAUUAUUACAACUGAAA
rnacentral:misc_RNA from 1 species